rnacentral:rRNA from 1 species
AGUGAACGCUGGCGGUAGGCCUAACACAUGCAAGUCGAACGGCAGCACAGUAAGAGCUUGCUCUUACGGGUGGCGAGUGGCGGACGGGUGAGGAAUACAUCGGAAUCUACUUUUUCGUGGGGGAUAACGUAGGGAAACUUACGCUAAUACCGCAUACGACCUACGGGUGAAAGCAGGGGAUCUUCGGACCUUGCGCGAUUGAAUGAGCCGAUGUCGGAUUAGCUAGUUGGCGGGGUAAACGCCCACCAAGGCGACGAUCCGUAGCUGGUCUGAGAGGAUGAUCAGCCACACUGGAACUGAGACACGGUCCAGACUCCUACGGGAGGCAGCAGUGGGGAAUAUUGGACAAUGGGCGCAAGCCUGAUCCAGCCAUACCGCGUGGGUGAAGAAGGCCUUCGGGUUGUAAAGCCCUUUUGUUGGGAAAGAAAAGCAGCAGGUUAAUACCCCGCUGUUCUGACGGUACCCAAAGAAUAAGCACCGGCUAACUUCGUG